rnacentral:rRNA from 1 species
GACGAACGCUGGCGGCGUGCCUAAUACAUGCAAGUAGAACGCUGACUACUUUAGCUUGCUAGAGUAGAAGGAGUCGCGAACGGGUGAGUAACGCGUAGGUAACCUGCCUACUAGCGGGGGAUAACUAUUGGAAACGAUAGCUAAUACCGCAUAACAGUGUUUAACACAUGUUAGAUGCUUGAAAUAUGCAAUUGCAUCACUAGUAGAUGGACCUGCGUUGUAUUAGCUAGUUGGUGGGGUAACGGCCCAACAAGGCGACGAUACAUAGCCGACCUGAGAGGGUGAUCGGCCACACUGGGACUGAGACACGGCCCAGACUCCUACGGGAGGCAGCAGUAGGGAAUCUUCGGCAAUGGGGGCAACCCUGACCGAGCAACGCCGCGUGAGUGAAGAAGGUUUUCGGAUCGUAAAGCUCUGUUGUAAGAGAAGAACGUGUGUGAGAGUGGAAAGUUCACACAGUGACGGUAACUUACCAGAAAGGGACGGCUAACUACGUGCCAGCCGCCGCGGUAA